GUAAAAUUUGCUGAGUAAGCGCUAUGACCUGAAGAGCCUUUUCAUUGUAUCACUGCUACUCAACUCAUCGUCUAUUCCCCUCUUAACCUAUCUAAAGAUGCAAUUCUGAAAUAGGAGACAAACACGGAGAGAGGGAAGACAGGCUGAUCGAUAAUUACCGCUAAUAUACGCCUGGAGAUAAUUUUAAGAGUUUCAAGUAGUUCAAAGAUAAUUUUAAUACUUUGAAGUAUUGAAUGUAUGUUUAUAAGAGAGGUUGAUUGUUGAAGAGGAAGAGUUUGUGUUGAGUGGGGGAUGAAAUUACUAUCAAAGAUGGAAGCUUUAUUGUUCUUGUGCUUUUUCAUGGAAAUUUAGUCUGUUGGUUUCUCAGGUUUGGUGUUUUUCAAAAUAGGUUUUAUUUUUUGGGUUUUUUUAAUCUGUUUCCUUUUUAUCUACUUCUAAAGGAGCAGCUUUUCCUAUGGCAAGAAAUACUGAAGCUACUGCCAACAAGUCCAAAAAUGAAUCUAAGGUAAAAAAAAAACAAUUACUUUUCCCUAAUGAUAAAAUUUGUUAUGUUGAAUUAUGGUUUAUUUUUGAGAUUCUGAAUUCUAAUGUUUUAUUUGAAUUUAGUUUGGAAUGAUAAACUAAUGAUCUUGUGUAUGUUUGUAAUGAAGAUUUGGAGGAAUAUGGCUACGGUUAUCUUGAAAUUUGUAUUUUCAAAGGUUGUAUUUGAUAAAAUAUUAAUUAUAUUGGUCUAUCAGUGCUUUGUGCCCCAUAUAUAUAUGUAUCUUGAGAAUCCAAAUUUUUCAAGGC